CGGGGAGUGGCGCAGCUAGGUAGCGCGCUGCAAUGGGGUUGCAGAGGUCCCGGGUUCAAAUCCCGGCUCCCCGA
rnacentral:tRNA from 1 species